rnacentral:rRNA from 1 species
UGUUCUCUAAAUAGGGACUUGCAUGAAUGGCCACACGAGGGUUUUACUGUCUCUUACUUCCAAUCAGUGAAAUUGACCUUCCCGUGAAGAGGCGGGAAUAUAUUAAUAAGACGAGAAGACCCUAUGGAGCUUUAACUACUUAGCCCAAAAGAAACAAAUUUCAUUGCUAAGGAAACAACAACACUCUUUAUGGGCUAACAGCUUUGGUUGGGGUGACCUCGGAGAACAAGAAAUCCUCCGAGCGAUUUUAAAGACUAGACCUACAAGUCGAAUCACACAAUCGUUUAUUGAUCCAAAAAAUUGAUCAACGGAACAAGUUACCCUAGGGAUAACAGCGCAAUCCUAUUCAAGAGUCCAUAUCGACAAUAGGGUUUACGACCUCGAUGUUGGAUCAGGACAUCCCGAUGGUGCAACCGCUAUCAAAGGUUCGUUUGUUCAACGAUUAAAGU